CCUACGCGGAGCUGCAGUGGGGAAUAUUGGGCAAUGGGCGCAAGCCUGACCCAGCAACGCCGCGUGCAGGAAGAAGGCUUUCUGGUUUUAAACUUCUUUUCUCAGGGACGAAGAAAGUGACGGUACCUGAGGAAUAAGCCACGGCUAACUACGUGCCAGCAGCCGCGGUAAUACGUAGGUGGCAAGCGUUAUCCGGAUUUACUGGGUGUAAAGGGCGUGUAGGCGGGACUGCAAGUCAGAUGUGAAAACCACGGGCUCAACCUGUGGCCUGCAUUUGAAACUGUAGUUCUUGAGUACUGGAGAGGCAGACGGAAUUACUAGUGUAGCGGUGAAAUGCGUAGAUAUUAGGAGGAACACCAGUGGCGAAGGCGGUCUGCUGGACAGCAACUGACGCUGAGGCGCGAAAGCGUGGGGAGCAAACAGGAUUAGAUACCCCAGUAGUC
rnacentral:rRNA from 1 species